rnacentral:rRNA from 1 species
CUGGUUGAUCCUGCCAGUAGUCAUAUGCUUGUCUCAAAGAUUAAGCCAUGCAUGUCUAARAAUAAACCCUUGAACGGUGAAUCUGCGAAUGGCUCAUUAAAUCAGUUAUUGUUUAUUUGAUGGUACCUUACUACUUGGAUAACCGUAGUAAUUCUAGAGCUAAUACAUGCGCCAAGCCCUGACUUCGGAAAGGGUGCAUUUAUUAGAUUCAAACCAUCGGUCCGUCUGGGCAACUGGGCGUGGCCUUUGAUGGUGAGUCAUAAUAACUUAGCGAAUCGAAUGGCCUUGAGCCGUCGAUGCUUCAUUCAAAUUUCUGCCCUAUCAGCUUUCGAUGGUAGGAUCUUGGCCUACCAUGGCUAUAACGGGUAACGGGGAAUUAGGGUUCGAUUCCGGAGAGGGAGCUUGAGAAACGGCUACCACAUCCAAGGAUGGCAGCAGGCGCGCAAAUUACCCAAUCCCGACACGGGGAGGUAGUGACAAUAAAUAACGAUGCUGGAUUAUUCUUAAUCCGGCAAUUGGAAUGAGAGUGAAUUAAAUCUCCACUCGAGGAACCAUUGGAGGGCAAGUCUGGU